rnacentral:snRNA from 1 species
ACCAUCAGCAACCAAAAGUUAUCAUCA